rnacentral:lncRNA from 10 species
GUUGCCCUACCCCACCAGGUCCCUGGCUCGGCGUCCCCAGACUCUGCCAGGCUGGCCUCACCGUGUGUAUCGAGGUGUUCUCCCUGCAAGGUCUUCAUCAUUCCCCAAUUGCUCGCAUUUAUUUUUCUCCUUCCUUGCGUCUGAGGCUGGGCCAUGUGCAGGGACAAAGUGUGGAUCCUCCCUCGGGCUUCCAAAACAUGGCCUCCCCGCAUUCACGUGGCCUGGCAGCAGCCCAGGCCCAGGCAGGGCCCUCUCUCACCCAGGGGGUGAUGCCUGCAGCUUCAACAGCAACCUCCAGGAAGGAGGCGCAUGGGUUCGUUGAGGUGAUACAGGAGUGGAAGAGCUUGGUCCCUUGAAAUGAAUGAUAGGGAAAAGGGGAAGUGCUGCGUAGAGGAGGGUGUGAUCCCUGGCUGGGGCUCCAUCCCACAGACCUAGGUGAGGACAGGCAUUUUUGCAUUUCCCAAGACCACCCUGGCCUGCCACACCCCCAUCCUAUGACUAUAAAAACUCGCGAGACCCUGGCAGGCACGCACAAGCUGCUGGACGUGGAGAGGAGCGGAUUGGCAGAGGAGCACUCAGGCGGCUGGACGUCGAGAGGAACGCACUGACGGGCGCCGGCACCCCGGCAGGCUACCAACCGGCAGCAGAAUGACCUGGAGUUUGGCUGGGGCAGCCAGAGGAGAGCCCGGGCCCGACUCCAGGGGAAAACCGUCCCACUCCAUCUUCUUCUGCCUUCCCCCAUCUGCUACCUCCACUCAAUAAAACCUUGCACUCAUUCUCCGAGC